CCUCAGCUUCUACGCUGCUGCCGCCUCCUUUAUCAGAUCUUCUCUUCUGAUCCAAUCCCCUCCCCUCCGCCCUUGGAGAUACUAUUUUGCCACUUUCCCCACACUUCACGCGCACCUCCACACCCUCUCUCUGAAGCCCUCGAGCGUAUGCAAUCAAAGCAGCCCGUGACUUUCAAGAUGGGCAAAUCAAAAGUCACCAACCAAGGAGAGAAGUACAAGAGGGCCGGGAGGAGGAGUCCAAGGCUGAGGCAUCAUGUUUUGGCAAAAUGAGAAUGGGCACUUCAUCAAGAAAUGUCGCAACUGCAAGGGCAAGAAAAUUCAUCAAGGGCAGGAGUCUGCCAAUGUGACAAUUGGUGAUCCUAGUAGAGGCUCUGGGUCGCACGAGGGUCAAGCGUGAUGAUGGGGAAUGGAUCGCAUGCUCCUGUUCUUGGUGUCGGUACGAUUGAUCUGAAGUUUACUUGGAAAAGAUCGUGCGUCUGAAGAACGUACAGCAUGCCCCCUCAAUAAACAAGAACCUCAUUAGUGGAUCCCUCUUGUGUCGAGAUGGAUUCAAACUGGUAAUUGAGUCUAAUAAGGUAGUCAUCUCUAGGUUUGGCCAAUUCAUUGGCAAAGUCUACGACAGAGGAGGCUUGUUCCGCUUGUCCCUUGCUGAUUUUUGUAAUAAGGUUGUGAACAACAUGUGUGAUUCAAAAAAUUGUGAGUCUGAUAUAUGGCAUUCUCGUUUGUGUCA